GAUAAAAUGCCUGAUUAAAGGGUUAUCUUGAUAGGAUAAAUCAUGUAAAAUUACUUUUAUUA
rnacentral:tRNA from 1 species